CUUGUCAGCAAUCACUUGGGACCUCGUUGUGGCUACCUUUCUUCCAAAAGUAGAUCGUCUAUCUGGUUGACCGCAGGCCUCAUGACUCCCUGUUGCUUCUCUGCAUUUCUACAGUGGAAAAGACCUUCAGGGUAACUAGGAGUGGGUGAGACUCAUCAAGAAAAAUAGCUUCUCUACCACAACAACAACAAAUGACGGGAGAGACAGAAACUUCUUUGGGAGAGCAGAGGGAAAAAAGGUUGCACAUUGCUUAAAGUUGGAGUUCUGGACCACUUGUUUCAUAAGCUUCCAGUUGUGCUUGAACAAAAAAGGCAACUUCUUUGCCCAAUGCUGGACUUAUUAAAUCAGAAUCUCUUGGAAAGUGGGACCCUGAAAGCUACAUUUAAUCUGCUUUUUGAAUGACUCUUAUCUGCUCAGGGGUGAACAGUAAAGAUCAGAAGACAAG
rnacentral:lncRNA from 1 species